UUUUUCGGAAACUUGUCCGCAGAGCUGCAAAGAAAAGUGCAACGGGGACAGUAUCAGCGGGAGUUUCUGUUCCUCAUGAAGCCGGACAAAGAUACUUCUCUAACACCUGCGUCACGUCAGACAGGUGUGAGCGCAGGUGUUCUUACCUGACGAGCUGCAGCGGAGAUUAUUGGUUAUAAACGCUGAGAGAACAGGAGCCUUGAAGAUGUCUGAAGGUCUCCCCACGUCUCCAUCAUCACCUCCGUCUCCCAAUGAGCUCGGGUCCAUCGCUAUAGCAACUGGUUGCCACGGGCGACGAGACACAGCCAGCGCCAGGCAGCAUCCUCCUCAUCCUCACAGUUGCUGUCGAAAAGGCAGAGAGCGAGGAGAGAGAGGGAGAGAAGGCGCGGCGCGAGCAGAGCAGCAGAGGAAGACGCUUUUAUCUCGCCAAAAUAAAACCAACAAAAUAAAAAAGAGAAAACGAAACCUCCAACCAGACGUCUGGAUUCUCCUGCCGACGAGUGUUUCUGCUUCCAGCAGGAAACCAGAGGAUGAAAGGAUGGUGACAACUUGUUCUUCCAGGAAAGUGUUGCUUCAGUGCUCGGCUGUGUCGGAGUGCAGGCGGUGACCCCACCGCCGAGACCGCCGCCGCCGCCGCCGUCACUGCUGCUGCAGGAAGGCCUCUCCUCUCUGACACCGACCUUCUUUUGCCACAAAGACAAUGUUUUCCUGUGGACCGUCUCUCACUGGACAGAAGAGGACGGUCUGAA